rnacentral:rRNA from 2 species
CAGUGGCGAACGGGUGAGUAACACGUGAGCAACCUGCCCCUGACUCUGGGAUAAGCGCUGGAAACGGCGUCUAAUACUGGAUAUGUGACGUGACCGCAUGGUCUGCGUCUGGAAAGAAUUUCGGUUGGGGAUGGGCUCGCGGCCUAUCAGCUUGUUGGUGAGGUAAUGGCUCACCAAGGCGUCGACGGGUAGCCGGCCUGAGAGGGUGACCGGCCACACUGGGACUGAGACACGGCCCAGACUCCUACGGGAGGCAGCAGUGGGGAAUAUUGCACAAUGGGCGCAAGCCUGAUGCAGCAACGCCGCGUGAGGGAUGACGGCCUUCGGGUUGUAAACCUCUUUUAGCAGGGAAGAAGCGAAAGUGACGGUACCUGCAGAAAAAGCGCCGGCUAACUACGUGCCAGCAGCCGCGGUAAUACGUAGGGCGCAAGCGUUAUCCGGAAUUAUUGGGCGUAAAGAGCUCGUAGGCGGUUUGUCGCGUCUGCUGUGAAAUCCGGAGGCUCAACCUCCGGCCUGCAGUGGGUACGGGCAGACUAGAGUGCGGUAGGGGAGAUUGGAAUUCCUGGUGUAGCGGUGGAAUGCGCAGAUAUCAGGAGGAACACCGAUGGCGAAGGCAGAUCUCUGGGCCGUAACUGACGCUG